CUUUUUCAGAGAAAACAAGUAAGAUUUUAAGGACUCCUUUUGGCAAAAGUUGGGCUUGAUCAGACCUGUCAUAUGUUCACAUAGUCAUGAGCAAGCACCAGGAAGGUGAUCUGGUGAUCCUGAAUGCUGGAAGGCUGGGCUGCUUGCAUUGUGUAAUAUCAUUACUGCUGACUGCUCCUGCUCCUGCUAGAGUCGAACUCUGGCCAAAAAGGUAGCAGAAGGGUUUAAACCUGGGACUCACCUCCAAAUGCUUUGACCAUCCUUGGCAGUGGCAUCACUUCCCUCUGUUGCACCUGAGUUGAAAAGAUCUGAGCUACAGAGAGACCUGUGAAGACGAGGCUUUCUGAUGAGGACAAAAGGACUGAACUCAUUAGAGCAUGGUGCUCAGAAAUGAUGUCUGGGUCUCAUAGUUCUUCUAUGGAAAACACAAGGGAUUUUGUCACCAAUAUUUUGGCUUUUGUGUCUCAUUAUGUAUCUAGUGCUUCUCAUGAACAAGGAGUUUAAGCAUCUGAUUCCGGAUUUUGGUUUCCAUUAGGUAGGAAGUCUGUAGUCAUGUAGGACUUAACCCUUAAGUCUGCAAAGGAGAGAUAUUCAACAUUUACCAAUAUUCAGAAUAAUCUUUUUUAUUUUCAUUUCACUAGGGGACUGCAAUUUUUACUUUCUC
rnacentral:lncRNA from 1 species